GCUGGAAUGUACCUGGAGCCUAGGAAUGUAGGCAGCCUCUAGAAGGUAGAAAAAGCAAGGAUAUGGAUUUUCCCCUAGAGCUUCCAGAAGAAGCACAACCC